ACAACAGUAUUUCAGACUGACACACACACAAAACAGAGGAGUGAUCAGCACCUUUAACCCUUUCCUCCGCAGACAAAGGAUUCACCCUCCCCACUGGUUUGCUCAAAUCUGACUAUCACAUCUGACUAGUCAGCCGGGACUCCCCGCACAUCUUCCCCAAAACCAGGGGUCAGGCGGGCUCCGUCGCGUCCUCCUGGGGUCAGGUCAGGUAGAGAAUAUCACC